AUUCUGCACCAAAAAAAAAAAAAAAAAGAAAAAGAAAAGAAAAAAAGAAAGAAAAAAGAAAAGAGAUGGGUAUUGGAUGGCACCAAACUCCAGAUGACAUCAGGGAAACCAAACCUCUAAGCCACAGGUAACCUUUUUCACACCCUAGAGGACGAUGACAACAUGCAAAUGGGGUCAAGCUGAUACAAUCCUCCAGCUUAAAAGAAUAGCAGACCGUCUUGUGAGUGGAACUCCAAGAAAAUGACUGAUGUCGGAAGAGAGGUUUCAGAAGUCUAAGAGAGACCAUGCCAGAACCAACGAAACCCCAUAAAAUACACUGAAAAUAUCAUGGAAUAAAAUGUUAACACAGAGGCAGGACAAUGAGUUCUCAGCCAACAUGAGUUCUGAAGCAUCAUACUGGAAAACUGGCAUCCUUCAACAAACCAGCAGCCACGAAUGUAAAUGGAAGAGUAGAGAGGAAGCAACAGUCAGUGUGUCUGUCCCUGUACAAGGGAAGGAUUUCUGAACUCCUCGAGGAGCCAUGGCAGAGAGGAAUUACCAAUGUCAUUUUGAAAGAUACUCUCUUUACCGAAAGCCCAAAAGAAGACAGGGAAGUUUGAACUGACUUUGGCCUUGUGCUGAAAAACUACACAUAAUUGGGAAUUCAAGGAACUUACAAAACAGAUGCCAGAUUUCCUUUCAUCAGUAGUGUCAGUGAGCAGGCUAGGAACCGCAGAAGGAAGAGAGACAGCGGAGUCUCGAAGUACCCUCUCGCGCCUGUGUACAAGGGUGAUCUGCCUCUCGGCUUCCCUGUUCCCAAGCCCGGGCCUGCCGUCUGCUCGCUAGACCAGUGGGGGCUGCGGAGACACAGGAGGACCAGGAGGCAUGUGGACACAUGGAUGUUCUGCUGGGUGUCAGGAAUUUUGUCACCUUGGGUCAUGCACGUUCUGUGAUGACGGAGCCAGGCCUGCCGGCCCAAAGAGGCCCUAAAGCACUGUUCAUGUCCCACGAGAGCCACAUGAUCCGGCCUCUUUCCUCGAUGCCAUUUUCUACAGCUCAUCUGCAGGUGGGUCCCGAGUCAAAGCUCAAGUCUGGGUCUCAUCACACAGAUCCCAGCGGGCUGGGCCGUUCAAUGUUCAUGAUCCCCAGCCCCGCCGGUUUUGAAUGAGGUGGUUUGGGCUGGGAUGAUUUCUGUGUGAUGAUACUGAGUCAGGGCUGGAGGGAACCACUCAAGGAUGAAGUUACGACCACCCUCUCACCAUUCACCGGAAUUUGACUGCCGUGCUGGGCAAUCAGACCUUUGAAUCUUAAAAUUGUCAACAAUUUUUUAAAAGCAACGUUCUGUGCUACCUGUAUUGGAUCGGACUUCAUCCUUGGGUUUUUCCAGAGGACCAGCAGUGACGAGGAGGGAUCACAGAACAUUAGAAAUGGGAAGGACAGGGAUGCAUCUCUAGUCCCCAAUGAUAGCCCAUUGGGGACUGUCCCAACGUGACCAGGGGAUUUCAGUGGCUCUUGUGUUCACUAGAUACAGUUUCAGGGGGGGAGGGGGGCUCAUUAUUUCCUACAGCUCAGGGAUGACUCUGGUUCAUUAGCUGUGGGUUUCCAGUGUGUUCUCAACAAGGCUGAGCUGGAAGGAGUCCUCUGUUGGACGACUACUGUCUCCAACAGGGGAGGCUGUCUCUCGUGUGGACACUUGGUGUUUGGUACGGGAUGGUUCCUUCCACGAGAUGACCCUGGAAGUGCUCUGGAGGGAAGGGGGUGAAGCUGCACCAACCAUCCCUCCUCAGAUGGGGACAGUCACUUGGCCUCAGGGUCUCACUCAUCACCAGGCUGAAGUGGAAACUUGCAUGGACAGUUGAAUGGCCAACUGUGAACCCACUCAUUUGUUUUUCAGAUGGGGCAAAUGGGGGGGUAGAGAAUGAUAAAUGGGUAGAUUAUGACACGAGGGAGGGAACAC